rnacentral:rRNA from 1 species
AUUGAACGCUGGCGGCAGGCCUAACACAUGCAAGUCGAGCGGAGCGGCUGACGGGUGAGUAAUGCCUAGGAAUCUGCCUGGUUGUGGGGGAUAAAGUCCGGAAACGGGCGCUAAUUCCGCAUAAUUUCAGAUGAGCCUAGGUCGGAUUAGCUAGUUGGUGGGGGAAAGGCCUACCAAGGCGACGAGCCGUAACUGUUCUGAGAGGAUGAUCAGUCACACUGGAACUGAGACACGGUCCAGACUCCUACGGGAGGCAGCAGUGGGGAAUAUUGGGCAAUGGGCGAAAGCCUGAUCCAGCAAUGCCGCGUGAGUGAAGAAGGUCUUCGGAUUGUAAAGCACUUUAAGUUGGGAGGCGUUACCAACAGAGUAAGCACCGGCUAACUUCGUGCCAGCAGCCGCGGUAAUAC